CCUGUGGGCAAGGACAGUCUUUGUGACAGAUACCCAGCAGCCAGGACUGCAGGUUGGCAGGUGCUUCCCAAUUCCACUUUCCAGGCUGCCAGCCCGCCCCUUCUUUUCUGGAGAUGGGCAGGGAACUCCCUAUAGAAACAGCCCCAUCCAUCCUCAGCGACUCUAACUGCUAGAACAUUCUCCCCUUCGCUGAGCCCAAAUCUUCCCCGUCCUUUCUGUUCUCCAUCCUCAUUUAUGCCUUGGGGACGGGGGAAAUGUGCACAACACUGUCUCCUGCGCAGCCCUUCCCGGCUGAAGCCACCGCUGGGAGCCUGGGGCUCCUGGUCAGCCCAGCCCCUGGUUUUACUUGAGCCAGGCCCGGCAUGAUAUGGUUUGGGUCCCUUAGCUACCUGAUGACUUGCUUGCUUCUAAGCAUUUUUCGUUUUGUUCUUUGUUAUUGUGGAAAAUCUCAAAUCUAUUCCCAAAGUGGAGAUGUGCCCGCAAC